rnacentral:rRNA from 1 species
UGCGAGUCGACACAGCAAUGUGCGGCAUACGGCUCAGUAACACGUAGUCAACAUGCCCAGGGGACGUGGAUAACCUCGGGAAACUGAGGAUAAACCGCGAUAGGUCACUACUUCUGGAAUGGGUAAUGACCCAAACCUAUAUGGCCCCUGGAUUGGACUGCGGCCGAUCAGGCUGUUGGUGAGGUAAUGGCCCACCAAACCUGUAACCGGUACGGGCUCUGAGAGGAGGAGCCCGGAGAUGGGCACUGAGACAAGGGCCCAGGCCCUAUGGGGCGCAGCAGGCGCGAAACCUCUGCAAUAGGCGAAAGCUUGACAGGGUUACUCUGAGUGAUUUCCGUUAAGGAGAUCUUUUGGCACCUCUAAAAAUGGUGCAGAAUAAGGGGUGGGCAAGUCUGGUGUCAGCCGCCGCGGUAAUACCAGCACCCCGAGUGGUCGGGACGUUUAUUGGGCCUAAAGCAUCCGUAGCCGGUUCUACAAGUCUUCCGUUAAAUCCACCUGCUCAACAGAUGGGCUGCGGAAGAUACUAUGGAGCUAGGAGGCGGGAGAGGCAAGCGGUACUCGAUGGGUAGGGGUAAAAUCCGUUGAUCCAUUGAAGACCACCAGUGGCGAAGGCGGCUUGCCAGAACGCGCUCGACGGUGAGGGAUGAAAGCUGGGGGAGCAAACCGGAUUAGAUACCCGGGUAGUCCCAGCUGUAAACGAUGCAGACUCGGUGAUGAGUUGGCUUUAUGCCAACUCAGUGCCGCAGGGAAGCCGUUAAGUUUGCCGCCUGGGGAGUACGGUCGCAAGACUGAAACUUAAAGGAAUUGGCGGGGGAGCACCACAAGGGGUGAAGCCUGCGGUUCAAUUGGAGUCAACGCCGGA